rnacentral:rRNA from 1 species
UGGGGAAUAUUGCACAAUGGAGGGAACUCUGAUGCAGCGACGCCGCGUGAACGAAGAAGGCUUUCGAGUCGUAAAGUUCUUUUAUAUGGGAAGAUAAUGACGGUACCAUAAGAAAAAGCCCGGCUAACUACGUGCCAGCAGCCGCGGUAAUACGUAGGGGGCUAGCGUUGUCCGGAAUCACUGGGCGUAAAGGGUUCGCAGGCGGAAAUGCAAGUCAGGUGUAAAAGGCAGUAGCUUAACUACUGUAAGUAUUUGAAACUGCAUAUCUUGAGAAGAGUAGAGGUAAGUGGAAUUUUUAGUGUAGCGGUGAAAUGCGUAGAUAUUAAAAAGAAUACCGGUGGCGAAGGCGACUUACUGGGCUCAUUCUGACGCUGAGGAACGAAAGCGUGGGUAGCAAACAGG